rnacentral:snoRNA from 1 species
UUCACAUAUUCAAAAAUAUUUACUGAUACAGACAGGUGCAAAAAAUAAAUCCUCUUUUGCAACCCAGAACUCAUUGUUCAGUAUGAGUUCUGAUACAUAUAAGAAGGAAUAUU